UACCGAAGACCGGUCACCCCGAUCCCGAC
rnacentral:sRNA from 1 species